UGCAAGUCGAACGGUAACAGGUCUUCGGAUGCUGACGAGUGGCGAACGGGUGAGUAAUACAUCGGAACGUGCCCGAUCGUGGGGGAUAACGAAGCGAAAGCUUUGCUAAUACCGCAUACGAUCUACGGAUGAAAGCAGGGGACCGCAAGGCCUUGCGCGAACGGAGCGGCCGAUGGCAGAUUAGGUAGUUGGUGGGAUAAAAGCUUACCAAGCCGACGAUCUGUAGCUGGUCUGAGAGGACGACCAGCCACACUGGGACUGAGACACGGCCCAGACUCCUACGGGAGGCAGCAGUGGGGAAUUUUGGACAAUGGGCGAAAGCCUGAUCCAGCCAUGCCGCGUGCAGGAUGAAGGCCUUCGGGUUGUAAACUGCUUUUGUACGGAACGAAAAGACUCUGGUUAAUACCUGGGGUCCAUGACGGUACCGUAAGAAUAAGCACCGGCUAACUACGUGCCAGCAGCCGCGGUAAUACGUAGGGUGCAAGCGUUAAUCGGAAUUACUGGGCGUAAAGCGUGCGCAGGCGGUUAUAUAAGACAGAUGUGAAAUCCCCGGGCUCAACCUGGGAACUGCAUUUGUGACUGUAUAGCUAGAGUACGGCAGAGGGGGAUGGAAUUCCGCGUGUAGCAGUGAAAUGCGUAGAUAUGCGGAGGAACACCGAUGGCGAAGGCAAUCCCCUGGGCCUGUACUGACGCUCAUGCACGAAAGCGUGGGGAGCAAACAGGAUUAGAUAC
rnacentral:rRNA from 1 species